rnacentral:rRNA from 1 species
GCUAACGGUACAGGCGAGAGCUCAUAAAGGCCUGUUUUAUGACUCUGAUCGAUCGUCCAGUUACGGUCGUUCGAGGUUGAAGGAGGGGGUAGGUUGUGGGAGGCCGAGGUUCUAGACUUAGUUCUUUGGGCGGCCGCUACCCCGAGACGCUGACGAACCCGCUCACGACCCUGCUGACGUUCACCCGUAAUCGCACGGAGCGGCGGCAGCGGCGACAGUAGUAGUAGCGGCAGUACCAGCGGCGGAUGUCGAAGCGGCAGGUCGGUAGGUAGUGGCAGCUCCUGCGGAGCGACUGGUCCAAACGCGACCGCUGGUGGGGCCACUGGAGCGAGCCCAUGUUGGAGAGGGACUUCGAGCAGCAAGCGUUGGCCUUGACCCGCUGCUGGUACUUCUUGUGCCUCGGCGACCUCCGCCGCAUGUUCAAGCUGCCCGUCGUCAAGCUCGCGCACGUCCAGCGGCUGUUCCCGCUGUUCGUGCCGGGGUCCUUCUGGGCCCACAUGGCGGAGCUGAGCCCGAGUCUGUCGCGGAUGCGGCGCGACCCGUUGCGGCCGCAGCGGCGCAUGUUCCUCGUCUUGUUCUGGCCCCUCAAGCUCGACCUCCACCGCCAGUGCCCGCUCCACGCCAUGUGCGACGUCGACUUCUUCUUGUUCGACAGCCCCUGGACGUUCGAGUUCGACUUCUAGCUGAGCGGCCGCUGCCGGCGGCACCACAAGCUCUUCCACUUUACGUUCGAGCUCUUCCUCUUCUUCCUCAUCAAUUAAACGAUCGAUGACACGUGACAUACCAAAAGUAGGUUUCAAGCUUCGUUAGAUACCGCCGGCCAACGGUUGAACGGUAUAGCUCAUCAACAUCAUGAAGAGUUAAUAAACUAAGGAAGAAAUAGGAAUACAUUUUACUAAAAGCUACCACUUAGAACCCUCCACAAACAAAGUCG